rnacentral:sRNA from 1 species
UACCUACAGUUUUUCAUAUUCGUGCUU